UGGGGAAUAUUGGACAAUGGGCGAAAGCCUGCUCCAGCCAUGCCGCGUGUGUGAAGAAGGUCUUCGGAUUGUAAAGCACUUUAAGUUGGGAGGAAGGGCAUUAACCUAAUACGUUAGUGUUUUGACGUUACUGACAGAAUAAGCACCGGCUAACUCUGUGCCAGCAGCCGCGGUAAUACAGAGGGUGCAAGCGUUAAUCGGAAUUACUGGGCGUAAAGCGCGCGUAGGUGGUUUGUUAAGUUGGAUGUGAAAUCCCCGGGCUCAACCUGGGAACUGCAUUCAAAACUGACUGACUAGAGUAUGGUAGAGGGUGGUGGAAUUUCCUGUGUAGCAGUGAAAUGCGUAGAUAUAGGAAGGAACACCAGUGGCGAAGGCGACCACCUGGACUAAUACUGACACUGAGGUGCGAAAGCUUGGGGAGCAAACA
rnacentral:rRNA from 1 species